rnacentral:rRNA from 1 species
UACGGAGGGGACUAGCGUUGUUCGGAAUUACUGGGCGUAAAGCGCACGUAGGCGGAUUUGUAAGUCAGGGGUGAAAUCCCGGGGCUCAACCUCGGAACUGCCUUUGAUACUGCAAAUCUCGAGUCCGGAAGAGGUGAGUGGAAUUCCUAGUGUAGAGGUGAAAUUCGUAGAUAUUAGCUAGAACACCAGUGGCGAAGGCGGGUCUCU